UAUUUAUGCUUAUUUUUUGUUCCUCUGUUUCUGGUGCUUGUAUUGUUUGAUUAAACUUUUAUCUUGUUUGGCUGUAUUGCUUUAUCUUACAGUACCAUAAGUCAUCUCUUGCAUAGGCAUUUUGCCUAGGAAAGCCAGAUAUAAAUUGUUUAUAUAAACACGAGUGUUGAUGAGGAUGCCAAACCUUGGGUGGUGGUUUGGUUUGUAAGUGUUUGAGUGAGCUUGUGUACUGUAACAACAACAAUGUCAAUGAAAAAAUAGUACUUCUCUCUAUAUAUGACAUUUUACAAAGAGGAAGGAAGCAGUCCUUUAGGCAACUGGAUCAGAAGCUGUUUAAAUACUUAAAGGCAAGUCCCAGCACUUUGAACAGUACCCAGAAACAAAAUGGUAACAGAUUGCAGUUGUGUAAGGAUUGGUAAGAUUUAUUUCAUAUAACUGGACCCCACAUUUUGUACUACCUGAUGUUAUUCUUACCACAUUGCAGUAGUCUAACCUGGGGUUAUAAGCAUGUUUAUGUGACAGCACAGUUUAUUUACUUCUGAGUAAACCUGCAUGGGAUUGCUCUGUGAAACAGGAUAGGAAAUACUAGGCCUCCCUAUUAAUUAAGACACUCAAGACAUCCAUUGAGCAAACCUGCCCAUUGCAUGUGUACAGUUAACAAACUACUGGGGCUGCACUGAGGCUAACACACAGAAAUAGCAAAGAAGUUGCUCCCUUCACUCUCCAGAAAUCCUCAUCAACAAUCCUCCAGAAAUUUCCUCAUCAGUAAAAGCUCAGAAUAAUGUUGAAGGAAGACAAUACAAAAUUGGAAGGCACAAAAUAGAAAUGUAAUGUAGUAAAAGAGUGGUGAGAACACAGCAGGAAAGAAAGUGCAGAAGAGAUGGAGGUAAUCCAGGAAAAGCUCUGCCUUUGAAAUAGUUUUAAGGACUGCAGAAAGAAUCCUAUACAGCUUGGUAAGUCUAGAGAUAGAGGACAUUUUGCCCCAGAAAAUGAUGAUGUUGUGAAAGAAGGAGCACUGCUUGGAUAUACUCAUCCUGAUUUCACCUGUAGGAAACAGGUUUUGUAGGUUUUUAUAUUGUUCCCCAAACCUGCAAAACCAGUUUGACUAAGUUUAUGGAGCUGGGGAGGGUACAAAAAGUGUGUGUGCACUCUUGAAGACAGGCGGGAGUCUCUUCCAAGUCACUUUCAAAUGAUUGCCCAGUGAUGCAGCCUUACAGAGACUUCAGGCUAGACAGAAGACAUCAACAGCAACCUCACUGCGUAGAAGACCCAUCAAGCUCAGCUCAUUUAGAUGAUGCUAUUCAGGCUGGAGGCCCUGUGCUUUGGAAGUGAUGCAAACAAGCUGGAUGGGACUUAGAGAAGAGAGAACAAGAUAACUUCAGAGAAAAGCCAACUGCAGCCCACCCAAUGCGUGUUGCAAGGAGAUUGCCGCAUCCCCAGCCGCCUGUAAAUAAAACCCUUGGCGUGGCUUUAUCUUUUGACGGCAGGGUAAGGAGGGUUUCACUCAGGGCCUCACAGCUCCCUGCACAUCUGCUGGAGUUGCCUCUCCAUCCUGCUGCCUUUGAUGCAAGUAGGGAAACAGCAUGGGGAAUGAAUCCAAGAUAUUCUGCAAAGAUUCCAAUCUGUGCCUGAAGAGACUCUGACUGAACCUGUAGUGUACCGUUGACUAAAGGAGUGAGGGAACACAAUGUGGGAUUUAGCCAGCGACCUUCAACCUCUUCAGCCAAAGAACUGGCCUACCUCCACACUGUAACUUAGGAUCCUCUUUUACGAUCAUCAGAAGAGUUCCUGAGAAAAUACAGGAAGGUUAUGAGAGGGAGAUGAACCCUCCUAAUAUCCCAUAAGUAUUAUACAAGGGCCUCAUGGAAACCUCAUCGGGAAGCACCUCAAUAGGCAAGAUUACCAGCUGCCUACUUGGCAUGACCAAGCCAUACUUCCAAGGGUCCUGGCUGGAAUCUGCAAGGAUGGGAGGACAGUGAGGGCCUUUAGCAGACAGAACGAAAAUGAGCUCUAAAAACGAGACCAUCUGGCCUUGGACACACACCUGUGGAAACUGCUACUGAGCUGAAGGAAAACAAUGAAGUCUGUCUCCCCUGUUUGGGACCUCUAGAAGCCAUAUCCAAUCCAUCUGGACAAGCAGCUGACCCUUAACCCAGUAGGAAAUAAAUACUGCUGAGCUAUCUGAGAGGAAUAGAUGCUGAUGGGCUCUCAGGACUGACUUUGAGCAAAUCGGUGCAAAAGUCGCUAGACAGGCAGAAAGCCCAUGGGCAAGGAGACAGCCUUUGCCACUCCUGACCGCCACCACCAUUGUCCGGCCCAAAGCGAAAGGCAGGUGAGCAAGCUGGUCCCAGUGGAGGUGCAAUUCAAGGACCAACCCUUCUUGUGACCAACCCUCUGCUGAGGGAUGGGCCCUUGGCAGGUGCCUGACCAACCUAUCCUUGAUGCCCGCUCUAGGAACCAAGGAGGCUGCCUCCCUGCACCAUCUGUUUCCCUUGCUUUUGGAUCACACUUUUAUCUGAGGUGGAAAUAUAUCAAUGUUUCCAAGCAAUACUUCCCACACUUCCACUUGUUCAAUGCCAAACUGUUAGCAGACCAUGCUCAACGCCAGCUACUGUGUAAGCAGAAAAGUCCUUGUAAAAUUGCAAAGUCUGUUCUUGCUGGAGACAAAAGUCUGAGCAUGCAAAACAGAAAGAAAAGUGGGAUGCAGUGUGUGAAUCAGUGUAUGCAGCUGGUCAGAGAAAAUGAUCUUUACCCCUUUAACCUGAAGACUACUGGUCUGAGCAAUAGCCUCUCUCACUGGGCCUAAGCAUACAUUAUAUUAAAAAUAAAUACAACCCAAAUUCUGUGUGCAAUUCUGCAACUGGGAUAUACAGUGUGGAAACUAAAUGAAUUUUCAUAUAUAUUUUUCUUGCACGGAAAAGACCAAGGAAGGACACAGGUCACUGGACACACACACUCCUAAGCCACUGGAAUGCUUGCUUAUUCUCUUUCUGGCCUCCAAACCUUUUCAAGGUUUCAAGCCUAUUUGUCCAGUGAUGAGGGCUAAAAACUUUUAAAAACAAGCAGGCAAGCAAAGGUGGGAUUCUCUGCAAACUGAACUCAGGACCAGAUACCAAACUCUCUGCACAGCCUGCACACAGCCUCAGAUUUUAUUCCAGCCAGAAUUCGGAGAACAAGAAAACAGGCGUAGGGAGGAAAUGAUCCCCCGCCCCCCUCCCUGCACAUGUGUUUGGGGCAAGCGCACACACUGCAUUUGAAGCUCAAACACACACGCCCUCGCUUCCACGUGCUGCUUGGCUGGAACGCUGGAUCUGAAACUUCACCUCCAAAAAGCUCAGACAAUGAAAGAGCACGUUAACUCAAGCCAGAUGGAUUCCGAGUGCCCCACCAUCCGCCUGCCACAUACAACCUCAUUUGUUUACCUCCUGCUCGCCUCAUUUUAGCUCUUCCUGAAUCAGAUCGGCUUUCAAGAAGCUAAAAUUACAUCCCACUCCCUCUCUUGUACUCCUCCCCACUCAAAGCCCUGCGGGGGCGCGCGGGCGCGCGCACAACACACGAGCAAAGCGAAUCCGGGCGUUUGCUCCUUCUGCCCCUCCUCACGUCAAGCAGGAAAACGGCCUGCAGGAAAGGAAAUCGUGCUUAUCUCGCCUUCCAGAUCUGCCAGCCCCGUUAGCAACGCCUAGCUGCCAUUUCCAGUUUCUGUGCAACGUCUCCCCUCGCCCCGCUUCUCCAGGCUUUGGUCAUUCCGUGCUGAGGAAUGAGGUAUUCCUGCGCCAGGUACGGACAGCUGCUGUACACCAGUCUUCCUUUGCCUCCAAGUCUUCCUGCUUCUUCUGGCUUCUAGGAUGAGUCAAGAAUUACUUGCUGAUGUUCCCUCUGAUCAGACAUUAAGUUGGAGCCAAAAAUAUGUGCAUAUCUUGAUCUGAGUGAAUCAGAGUAUUAUAUUUGGUAUACUAAAAUUACAUUAGUAUAUUAAAUUUUGGUUUGGUAUAUUAAAUUUAAAAAUCUGAUUUAUUCAGGCAAUAAUUGAAAUUUACUGAGUUUGCUUUUAAACAUUUUUAAAUAUGAUGAUAAUUUUAUGAGCAAACCAAGUUAUGCAUAAUAUAAUUUUAGGGCCAUAAAGCCUGUUCUGUGUUCCUCUAGCAAGCCUCGCUAACUUGGUACUCUCCAGAGGUACUGGACUACAGCACUUAGCAUUUGUGGCUAUUGACCAUGCUGCCUGAGGCUGAUGAGGACUGAAACCCAAAAGGGUUAGGGAAGGCAACCUGAAGCAACAACCUAAGGCAAAAAAGUGACUUUAGGUCUGCAAAGACUGCUUUUAAAAUGCCUAUUUUUUAAUUCUCCUGCAAAUUUCCUCAAGCCCAGCCUUUUCUAUAGCUUCAAAAUGUCCAGGAAUUUUACAUCUCCAGUCAAAAUGAAAAUUUGGUGGCUGAGGUAGGAGCAUGAUCAGAAAGCGCAACCUGUCAGAAGACAUUCCAGCCAAAAGCCAUUCUGAUACUCCAAGACUCGGACCGCAAGAGCAUCAGCAUCUACGUGUUUGAACAGCUCAGUGGGAGGCAGGCUGGGGUUUCCGUCACUGGGCCAGGACUCGUGUCUAUCCACUGUGCCACAUGCUGAAGGACAGCAUUCUCCAUCCUUCUCCAGGAAUUCAGUACCACUCCAAUUAUUCCUAGCUGUUGGCAAUGCUGCCUGGAGCUCCUGUGAGUUAUUAAUUACAUUUAUAUCCAGCCUUUCUUCCUGCAAGGAACUCAAAGCAGCUUAUGUAUUAAACCUCUUUUUCCUCUGCAUUUUAUCCUUGCAACAUCCCUGUGUAGCACGCUAGACUGAAAGUGAGUAGGUGGCCCAGAGUCACUCAGCAAACUUCAUGGCUGAGUGGAGACUAUAACCCAGAUCUCCCAAAUCCCAGUCUGGCACUCUGACCAGUAUGCUACACUGGAUCUCAGUGCCAAAGCCCAAACUAUCUGGAGGGCACCACGUUGGGAAGGCUGAACUGAGAUGUCCUCCUACAGAACUUCCAAAUAGGACGAUGAGUGCAAUUCAGCAAGUCCCCCUUUACUUUUCUGCCAGGCUAAAUCACAAGAUAGGGCUUCGCAUAGCAAUGCUUCUCACAGACUUUUGUUGGCACACCUCCAUAUCCACUGCCUGGCCUGUUGUGUGGUACCUGCGCAGGCCUGUUGAUUGCAAGUCUGAGUCCAGCAGCAAAUUUAAAAGGUUACCAGCAGAGGGGAGGAGGAAUCUUGAGUUUCAACUGGGCAACCCCAGUGUCGAUUCCCUGCAUUGUUAAUGCACAAUAUGCGAACUAGCUCCAAGAUGCUCGGAGAUCAGCUGAUGGGGAUGCAGAUUCAGACGAGAGAGGCUCCAUCACACUGCUGUGUUGUCUGAGGUCCAGUGCUGAAUUAGUGACAAUGUUUUACUGAAGUUCAUUGGCCCCUGUAAGCCAGAGCCAGUGUGGUGUAGUGGUUAAGAAUGUGGGACUGGGACUCAGGAGAUCGAGGUUCUAAUCCCCACUCAGCCACGGAA